rnacentral:lncRNA from 1 species
UUGCUGCUACUAACUCUUUGGGUCCACGCUGCCUUUGUGAGCUUUAACACUCACCACGAAGGUCUGCAGCUUCACUCCUGAAGCCAGCGAGACCACGAACCCACACUGAAGGAAGGAAACUCGGAACACAUCCGAACAUCAGAAGGAACAAACUCGACACGUUGCCUUUAAGAACUGUGACACUCACCGCGAGGGUCGGCGUCUCCAUUCUUGAAGUCAGUGAGACCAAGAACCCACCAACCAAUUCCGGACACAAUCUCAGCACUGUGGGAGACUGAGGCACCUGCCAAACCUGCACAGAUUCCUACAGCAGCCAGUUCGCUCUGUCUCGAGGCUUCAGAGGAACACGAACUUCUCUGAUGGAAGAGCCUUGUUCUAGAAGGGAGUGAAGCCUAGGUGUCUUUCCUGAGCACACAGAAGAUCAAGACCACACUCACUGACUUCUCAUAGUCAAGCAAUUUUGGCCAAUUAAAUGUCAGUUGGAAACUCCUGUGUCAGCUUCUCUGUGGCGGUGAGAAGUCCCUGUGUGACAUCCCAACUCUCCCCUCACCUGCGUUGGCAACCAAGAAAGCCUUGUGUUGGAGG